UACGGGGGGGGGCAAGCGUUGUUCGGAAUUACUGGGCGUAAAGGGCUCGUAGGCGGCCAACUAAGUCGGACGUGAAAUCCCCAGGCUCAACCUGGGAACUGCGUCUGAUACUGGAUGGCUUGAAUCCGGGAGAGGGAUGCAGAAUUCCAGGUGUAGCGGUGAAAUUCGUAGAUAUUCGCAAGAACACCAGUGGCGAAGGCGGCUCACUGGCCCGAUACUGACGCUGAGGCACGAAAGCGUGGGGAGCAAACAGGG
rnacentral:rRNA from 1 species